rnacentral:sRNA from 1 species
GGGAUAGGGACCCUGCUGCUCCAGGGAGUUGAACUUGUCAAAUUAAUGUCUACAGUGAUAUGUAUGAAACAAAGGGAAGAAGAAUUCUUGCUAACCAUCAGACCUUUUGCAAACAGGAUGCAGAAAUCCCCUUGCUAUAUUCCCAUUGUGAGCAGUGCCACCCUGUGGGAUAGAAGCACACCCAGUGCAAAGCACAUCCCUUGUUAUGAAAGAACUUCAGUACCCUGCUCCAGAUUCAUUAAUCACAUGAAGAAUUUCUCUGAAUCUCCUAAAUUUUGUAGUCUACACUUUCUGAAUUUUCCAGGUGGGCUUCUCAAGUUUGUUCUGCAUAUCGAGACUCUGUCAAGUACAACUAACAGAAGCUGCCAUGCCCAGUGUAGAGAUCCUGCCCUAGUUUCUCUCCUCUUCUCAGGAUGGCCUCACAUUCUAGAACAGCCCUCUUCCUGUGUCAGUGAGCAGACUCUUCUUAGAAGUUCUCAGCAGACUUCCCCUCAG